GCAGCUAUAGCUCAGUGGUAGCAGCGUCGCUCUGAUAAGGCGGAGGUCCACAGUUCGAUCCUGUGUAGCUGCA
rnacentral:tRNA from 1 species